rnacentral:tmRNA from 1 species
GGGGAUGUUCUGGUUUCGACAGCACUGACCAGGAAAGGUAAGCACGUCGGGAGUUGCAGGGUGGCCCGUUAAUCCCAUCCUGUAAGCCAUUAACUGGCAACUACAAUUAUUCAUACGCUUGCUAAUCUCCAAGAGAUUGAGCAUCAAUCGGGUUCGCCAAGGCUGCGGAACCGACGUAUAUCCCUCCAGUCUUUAGGCCGGUUAUGACGGAUCAAGGGGUAUCAUCCAAACCGGAUGCGCGGGGCCGACACCUCUGAGCCCUAUCAAGAUUUAGAGGAUAAGCGGGAUUUGGGGGCGCCUUCCCCCGCGGUUUCCGCCGACAAUCAAUGGAAGGAUAAGCGUGUAGAAAGCCCUUCGUGGCUUUGUUUGGACGGCGGUUCGACUCCGCCCAUCUCCAC